CGUAGAAAUAAUAAAAUAAAGAAUGCGGAAAGGGAGAAGACUGGUGCCGUGCUCAUCUUGUCCUUGUCGCCGCAGCAGGCCGGCGAUUGCGGAUGCCCGAUGCCGCCGCCGAUCUCCACCCCUUCCACCGCUCCCCACCCAACCGGCGGUCUCCGCUCCUCCCCGCCGCAGCAGGCCGGCGGUUGCUGCCCCUGCCCGCCAGGUCUUCGCCCAACGCGCGGCCGCGCACACAAGCUUCCCGGAGCGCACGCGAAGGCUCGCGUCCGCGGUCGCGCGUGCUGCGUGCAGGAGCUCUUGGCUCGCACCGGCGGCCGCGUAGGGCGAGAGCUUGUGCCGGCAACAGCUCGUGCGAGCGCUCACGGGCACUGCGUGGCCGGAUUUCGUGCCGGCGGCCUUCUCCGUGAGGACUCGCUCAUCCCCUUGUCUAGGUGAACCUCGCCACUGCGCCGCACUCCGCGGGCCGAAGCCCGAGACACGGCGCUGCUCGUCACGGAGGAGGACGACGGCGGCGCCUCCCCCCACCGGACCUGCUCCGCAUCUCGCCGAGAAGACACCCGCCACCACGCUCGUCCCGUCGUCCGCAUCGACGCCGCCCUCGAGGCCCACGUGCAGCUCCGCCGCUGCCCACUGUACGGCGCAUAACUUCACCAAAUCUACCGGGGUGCACAAGAUCGAUGGCCUCUGGUUCAUCAGCGGCGGCUACAAGGCCAGGAACUCCCACGAUCGAGGUCCAGGCCAACUUCAUCUGAUUCGCAUGCGGCAGUUGCAUCAAGGCAGGUGCGCAAGGGAGGACUUGUGAUGUGAAGACCUCUCAUCAAGGGAAGACCUCUCAUCUAGCUCAAUAAAAGAGGGUUGUAUGUAAAGAAAUAUUUGUUUCAUCUCUUGUGAUGUACUCCGGCAAAGACUUGUGCUUCAUGCCCACCGGCAAAGACUAUUGUACAUUUCUGGUUAAAAAAAUUAACUAAGCACAAAAAUGUGUGUACCUUACAUGUUCAUUA